rnacentral:rRNA from 1 species
GGGUAGUUUGACUGGGGCGGUCUCCUCCUAAAGAGUAACGGAGGAGCACGAAGGUUGGCUAAUCCUGGUCGGACAUCAGGAGGUUAGUGCAAUGGCAUAAGCCAGCUUGACUGCGAGCGUGACGGCGCGAGCAGGUGCGAAAGCAGGUCAUAGUGAUCCGGUGGUUCUGAAUGGAAGGGCCAUCGCUCAACGGAUAAAAGGUACUCCGGGGAUAACAGGCUGAUACCGCCCAAGAGUUCAUAUCGACGGCGGUGUUUGGCACCUCGAUGUCGGCUCAUCACAUCCUGGGGCUGAAGUAGGUCCCAAGGGUAUGGCUGUUCGCCAUUUAAAGUGGUACGCGAGCUGGGUUUAGAACGUCGUGAGACAGUUCGGUCCCUAUCUGCCGUGGGCGCUGGAGAACUGAGGGGGGCUGCUCCUAGUACGAGAGGACCGGAGUGGACGCAUCACUGGUGUUCGGGUUGUCAUGCCAAUGGC